AAAGGGAGCUCGAAUCUGUACGUUUAAGAACACAGUAACUCAGCAGAAUGCUUUACCUUUGAAUUUCAGGUCUUGCCUUGAGAGGAAGUCCAGGCCAAGGGGAAAUUUAGUGUCUUCUGGACAGUGGUCAGGGAGCAGCAAGAGCCAAGGGUGACCACAGCUCGGGCAGGGGCAGCACCACCCCUCUCCACCCAGCCAGGCAUGUCUCACAAGGUCCGAGCAGGGCCAGGCCUGCGAUAACGACGGACACCAGCAGUCCCAGGCGAGAGCUAAAUAAUGAAGAGGGAAAAAGUAAUUUUGAGCCUCAGGAAAUAAGAAGAGAUUUCAGUCAAAAUUUAAAGGAAAGGGGAGAAUCGGUGAAGCAGAGUGAAACAGGAAGAUUUAUUGCACGUGUUGACACGCGUGAUUUCAAGGUGAAGAUGGAAUCCUGAUAAGUAUCUUGUAUGUGAUGUCUGAUGGCCUCAGUAUCUACAGUUUUUCAGAUGUUGCUGUUGAUAAAUAUUUUGUAACAAUGGCUCAUUUAUGUAAAGAAAACAAAUUUUACCCUUUCACACUUAUCCCUCUAGACAUAGAAUAAUAACAAAGGUAAUAACGAUUUCCAGCACUGAACCUAGCCAAACAAUCGUGACUGCUAUUUUUAUUAGUGGAGUUAUUUCCGUUCUUUUUCCUUUUUGAUAGGAAAAGGCAAAGUUGUUUUUACUGAGCUGAGCUUUAGGCACAGAGAUGAUGUGCUCCUUACUUACCAAACAUUUACAAUGUGGCAUUUGCUCAGCCAUUUAACUUUUCUGUGCUUUUAUUUACCCUGCUUGUAAAACAGGAUUAUUUGUAAUUUUUGAGAUACAGUUAUAUACUGUAAUGUACUUUCUACUUAAACAGAAGUGUGAAACAUCUGAAGGAUUUUGGUAAACAUGUAAUUUCUGCAUGUAGGUGAUGAUUACAGGAUAAUUCUGAGACUGAGUUACUCAACUGUAAGGAAGUAAGAAAUAAUGGAACUAUUAUUUCAGACUGUUUAAAUUAAGCAGUACAUCCA
rnacentral:lncRNA from 1 species